rnacentral:rRNA from 1 species
UACAGAGGUCCCAAGCGUUGUUCGGAUUCACUGGGCGUAAAGGGUGCGUAGGCGGUUUGAUAAGUCUGAUGUGAAAUCCCGCAGCUUAACUGCGGAACUGCAUUGGAAACUAUUUGACUAGAGGAAUGGGGGGGAGACUGGAAUACUUGGUGUAGCAGUGAAAUGCGUAGAUAUCAAGUGGAACACCAGUGGCGAAGGCGAGUCUCUGGACAUUUCCUGACGCUGAGGCACGAAAGCGUGGGGAGCAAACAGG